rnacentral:rRNA from 1 species
UACGUAGGGUGCAAGCGUUGUCCGGAAUUAUUGGGCGUAAAGAGCUCGUAGGCGGUCUGUCGCGUCGGCUGUGAAAACCCGAGGCUCAACCUCGGGCCUGCAGUCGAUACGGGCAAACUAGAGUACUGCAGGGGAGACUGGAAUUCCUGGUGUAGCGGUGAAAUGCGCAGAUAUCAGGAGGAACACCGGUGGCGAAGGCGGGUCUCUGGGCAGUAACUGACGCUGAGGAGCGAGAGCGUUGGGGAGCGAACAGG